rnacentral:rRNA from 1 species
UACAGAGGGGGCUAGCGUUGUUCGGAAUUACUGGGCGUAAAGGGCUCGUAGGUGGCCAACUAAGUCAGACGUGAAAUCCCCAGGCUUAACCUGGGAACUGCGUCUGAUACUGGAUGGCUUGAAUUCGGGAGAGGGAUGCAGAAUUCCAGGUGUAGCGGUGAAAUGCGUAGAUAUCUGGAGGAAUACCGGUGGCGAAGGCGGCAUCCUGGACCGAGAUUGACACUGAUGAGCGAAAGCCAGGGGAGCAAACGGG